ACAAAUUAACAGUUCGCUCACAUGACACAACUGAUUUAUGUUCCUUCUCUGAAAAUAUGUCAAUCAUGUAGAAUUAUUCUAAUCUUGAUGGAUGUUUAAUUUUUAAGUCUCAGUCAUGUUAAGAGCAAAAGAAGUUGUUAUGUUUCGUCUGGAAACUCCGCCCACUGGGAGCAGCACUUUGAAUGAAAACUUCACCAAGGGCGCCAUUUUUUCCAAUUCGGUCGGUUGAAUUCAUCAGUCUGGACAGCUCUUCACACAGUAAAGGCAUUUGGUGUUCCUCCAGUUAAGAUCUCUGCUUCGUACCUUAGGCCACGUAGUAAAUGGAAACUCAACAAACGUAACCUAUUGGCCUCAGGUGAAGAUACCAACGAUGGU